rnacentral:rRNA from 1 species
CAGUAGCCGCGGGAACACGAAGGGGGCUAGCGUUGUUCGGAAUUACUGGGCGUAAAGCGCACGUAGGCGGAUAUUUAAGUCAGGGGUGAAAUCCCGCAGCUCAACUGCGGAACUGCCUUUGAUACUGGGUAUCUUGAGUAUGGAAGAGGUUAGUGGAAUUGCGAGUGUAGAGGUGAAAUUCGUAGAUAUUCGGAGGAACACCAGUGGCGAAGGCGGCUCACUGGUCCAUUACUGACGCUGAGGUGCGAAAGCGUGGGGAGCAAACAGGAUUAGAUACCCGCGUAGUCCCUGUCUCUUAUAC